CGGAUUUUAUUAAGUUUAAAAGGGGCGCCUUUAGCCCCGGGAAUAUAACCAAUUGGUGAAAUCCCUGCCAGCUUUAACCUGGUAGGAAUUGCCAUGGAUACCGGUAAUUUCUGAAUUCAGUGAAGUAUCCGGAAUGUGUAAAUGUACGGUGAAAUGCCUUAGAUAUUACCAGACACCGAUUGCGAAGGCAGCGUACUAGGCUGUAACUGGACGCUGAUGGACGAAAGCCUGGGGAUCGAACAGGAUUAGAUACCCCUGGUAGUCCACCCGUAAACGAUGAUCACUAUUUUUUGGCCGAAACACAGUCAGUUGACUUGACGAAGCCAAUUAAAGUGAUCCACCUGGGGAAUACGUCGGCAACGAUGAACCUCAAAAGGAAAUGACGGGGGCCCGCACAAACGGAGGAACAUGUGGUUUAAUUCGAUGAUACGCGAGGAACCUUACCCGGGCUUAAAUGUAGAGUUGGCAGUCUUGGAAACGAGAUUUUCUUCGGACACUUUACAAGGUGCUGCAUGGUUGUCGUCAGCUCGUGCCGUGAGGUUCGGGUUAAGUCCCAUAACGAGCGCAACCCUUACCGUUAGUUGCCAACAGGUAAAGCUGGGGACUCUAGCGGGACUGCCAUCGUAAGAUGCGAGGAAGGUGGGGAUGACGUCAAAUCAGCACGGCCCUUAUGUCCGGGGCUACACACGUGUUACAAUGGUCAGAACAAAGGGCAGCCACCUGGUAACAGGGCGCUAAUCUCGAAAUCUGAUCCCAGUUCGGAUCGGAGUCUGCAACUCGACUCCGUGAAGUUGGAAUCGCUAGUAAUCGCGCAUCAGCCAUGGCGCGGUGAAUACGUUCCCGGGCCUUGUACACACCGCCCGUCAAGCCAUGGAAGCCGGGGGCACCUGAAGUCCGUGCUCUCAUUAAGGGAAGCGGCCUAGGGUGAAACCGGUAACUGGGGCUAAGUCGUAACAAGGUAGCCGUACCGGAAGGUGCGGCUG
rnacentral:rRNA from 1 species